AACGCAAUAUUCACUGUUGAUUAUAACAUUAAAGCAUUCCCACGAGGUUAGAUCGUUUGGUCGGAUCCAUGAAAUGGUGGAUAUAGUUAUACUUUAUGUUCUAGUUAACAGAAGACUAAUCUUCUUCGGAAGAUUUAUUGAUCUUGGGUGCAGCACUUUUUCUGAAGUAUUUUCAUAUUUCUAAGGGUUUAACCUUCGUGUUCCCGUAUGAGAAGUGGUGCAAUGAUCAGUAAAACAUUA
rnacentral:snoRNA from 1 species